rnacentral:rRNA from 1 species
AUGACACCCCGCUUGUAUUUUCACUUUUCUCUUUCUAAAACACAUAAUGCAUCGCCUCCUAUAUCGGCCGAGUACUCGGCUUCUUUUUGGAUUGUAUCCUGCCCACCUGCCCCUUCCCCUGUCUUUUAUGUGAAGCGCAUACUGGCGACACCGUACAACCAUGCUGCGCCACCGUCGCCAUCCUCGUCCUCAACCGAAGCAUGUCGCCGCGACCCAAGCUUGCUACCAGUUGCCGCCGCCGACUAUCCUUCAUCCCACGGGCCGAGGGAGCAGCCGCCACCAUCUCUGCUUCAUCACCCAGGAUGA